ensembl:lncRNA
GAGAACCUACUGAAAUACCAGCUGUCAAAGAUGAGAACAUCUGACACCAAGCUCACACACACUUGCUACAUGCCGUUAGAAGACAAAAGUCGCAAGCUGAUCGUCACCGUCGCCCCAGUCCUGAAUACACUCCAUGGCAAUAGGUCUGGUUGUCUACCCGAGAUCUCCGCCUCCGACUCCCAUGCAGAAAACUCAGUCCCAGAGAAGGAGGAGCAGACCAGUGACCAGGGCCCUCCACCCAUCAUGUUUGACAGUGAGGAGAUUUACCAGAUUCGAGAACUACUCGAUUCCAGACGUCGGGGUGGCAUCCUAAAAUAUCUAGUGGACUGGGAGGGGUACGGUCCGGAGGAGCAUUCCUGGGUCAAUGCUAAGGACAUCCUCGACCCAACACUCACUAACGAGUUUCAUAGGACGCACCCGGAUAAGCCGGCUCCUUGACCACGCAGAAGACCCCGGCGUCAUCUGCCUCCUUGCGUCAGGAGCCGCUCACAGGGGAGGGGGCUCUGUCACAAACGAGACUCACGCUGUGCCUCCCGCUCACCACUAGAAGGAGCUCUCUCCCGAAUUUUAAACUUCAAUCCGGACUACACGCACACACGCUCAUGUACCUGGCCCUGAUUGCUCCUGCACCUGACUCACAUUAACCCUCUGGGGUCGACUAACAACUUCUCCUGAUAACACCAAAAUGAACUUAAAUUGCACAUUCAAUUUUGAUCGUACAGAUAAGAGCAAUACAUCAAUCGAAUCUGUUAAGGGUCUAAUUUUAUUUGUAUACACACAUAAUAACUAUACUAACAUAACAAAACUUUGUGCAUUUAUAAAAUAAAGAAAACAAACAGAGUGCGCUGUUUGCAGCCUUGGUCUACGGUGAUCUUCAUUUAGAAACGCGUCAUUAAAAUGAACUGUAACUGUAACUGUGACAUGAGAAAUAGAUCUAUAGAAAGCUUGACAUGUCUACUUUUAAACUGAGCAAGUCUUAUCGAAAACAAAUAUUCUGUGCUAAGGUAAUCCAUAUGAAACCAAUGCGAUGUCCAGUCUUUCACAUCUCCCUAUAUUAUAUCUUAUGCGACCACUACCAUGCCCACGCGCCGAGCGUGCUAUUGGCAUUAUAGUGAUCCACGUGAAGCUCGCGGUGGGUAAAUGCCCCAUAACAACAAACCAUGCAGCAAGUUUUUUACAUUUUACUUUGCACUUCGCGCUGAGAGGAAUGAGACUGAAUUCACAGCAGAAAAGACUCGCUGUGACAAAUAAGAAAGAAUUCACCUCAAGAAGCUUUGGAUUACCUUUGGAUUAUUGAUGCAGCGGCUUGAUCAAGCAGAGAUCAUAAACAUGAGUAAGUUUUUUUUUUAUUAUCCUACUUAAUAAGAGACUUUUUUCAAACUAUAAUUCCUGACUAAACGUAUAAUCAAGUGAAACAUUAUAAAGUUUCAUU